GAUCAUGGCUCAGGAUGAACGCUGGCGGCGUGCCUAAUACAUGCAAGUCGAACGCUUUGUAAAGGAGCUUGCUUCUUUACGAGGAGUGGCGAACGGGUGAGUAAUACAUAAGCAAUCUGCCCAUCGGCCUGGGAUAACAGUUGGAAACGGCUGCUAAUACCGGAUAGGUUAGUCUUUGGCAUCAGGGACUAAUUAAAGUUGGGAUACAACACGGAUGGAUGAGCUUAUGGCGUAUUAG
rnacentral:rRNA from 1 species